AUACGGAGGAUCCGAGCGUUAUCCGGAUUUAUUGGGUUUAAAGGGUGCGCAGGCGGCCAUUUAAGUCAGCGGUUAAAUCGUGGGGCUCAACCCCAUUCUGCCGUUGAUACUGGGUGGCUUGAUUGCGGUCGAGGUUGGCGGAAUUCGUUGUGUAGCGGUGAAAUGCAUAGAUAUGACGAAGAACACCGAUUGCGUAGGCAGCUGACCAGACCGCAAAUGACGCUCAUGCACGAAAGUGCGGGGAUCGAACAGGAUUAGAUACCCUGGUAGUCCGCACAGUAAACGAUGAAUACUCGCUGUUUGCGAUACACUGUAAGCGGCCAAGCGAAAGCGUUAAGUAUUCCACCUGGGGAGUACGCCGGCAACGGUGAAACUUAAAGGAAUUGACGGGG
rnacentral:rRNA from 1 species